CCCUCAGUGAAUCACAAAUCAUGUGGCC
rnacentral:piRNA from 1 species